AAUAUUUGAUUUAGUUUUUAAUCAGGAGAAUUUCCAUCAUAUAAAUAUUUUGUGUAAUUUCAAAGUGUCAGCUGUAGGAUCUGGCACGACUUUAUGAAAACUCCCUUUAAAGUAAUGAAGGUGCUCUUUUGAGUGCCACCAGCUGAUGGCGCACUCUGACAGUUCCUCGUCUCCUGCUGUCGUUUGGGAAAAACCCUUCAGAGUGGGACCUCUGCGCUUUUCUCUGAUCUCCGGUCGUGCCUACGCCCCGUUCCUGACGUUCCCCGCGAAUUUUAUCCACGCCGCUCCGCCAAUUCCACUCAUUUUCCACACCUACCUGACAUGCGGCAUUUGCGGGGAGAAAAGGGGGCACAGAAAGCCGCGCAUCAGUCCGCUGUGGAUCUGUACACAUUUUUGUGUUUUGAAUGGAGUGGGUCUGAUAACUUUUUCUCCCCAUCACGACGCAGAGACAGAAACAGACAACAAUAGAUUAUAAAACAGUCUGCUGCAGUUCAGCUGCAAGGUGAAGGAGUCGAUGUGGGAUUUUUUUUUUUUUUUUUUUUUUGCAUUUUGUUUUUCUCAGAUCCAACAGAAUUCUGGUAAUAUCUCUACAGAAAUGCAGCUAAAUCAUAUUUUUUGUGCUCUGGCAUGGUGAUGAAUGUCGGCUGUAUCACUCACAAGAGCCACGCCGUCCUUACCUGCCAUAUGUCAUUUUCACUGAGGUCAUCUGAGGAGACCAGCGGGUGCAGGAAAUAUGGGAACUGUACAGGAGGUGUGUUUUUUUUUUUUUUUUCCUCUCUUUUUUUUUUGGGUGGGGUUUUUGUCUCGCUUUAUUGCGGCCACGUUUUUGCGCGCACGCCAUGUUUUUCUCGUGCGCUUUUACGCACAGCGACACAAGACUGAACGAGACAUUUGGAUCGAAGAGAAGCUAAAGAGGACAAACGGAAAAGGGAAAGAGCACCAGGGGGCCAAGCUCUGGUUGAGGUAGUAGUUUGUGCUGUUGGUCGGGUUGUCAUAUUACCCCUUGUGGAGAUGACUGCGCAAUCUACUGCCUUGCCGGCGCUGGUGACUUGCGACGGAUGAAUCAAACAGGAUCAACGUGAAUGACUGAGCUCACUGUAUUGUUUGUAAACAGAAUGGACUGAAUGGUGGCGAACAUGCCUUCAUAAUAAUCACGACUGCUUUGAAACUGUUGUGCGUAAAUGAACAGAAGGUGUCAACUGUCACAGAUAUGUUAACAUGACCCAAAGCUCAAAUAUCUCUGCUUUCACAGUUGAAAAUAAACAUAUUUUAAUGGUCUUCAUCAA